rnacentral:rRNA from 1 species
UACGGGGGGGGCAAGCGUUGUUCGGAAUUACUGGGCGUAAAGGGUUUGUAGGUGGCUUGUUAAGUCAGACGUGAAAUCCCUCAGCUUAACUGGGGAACUGCGUCUGAUACUGGCGAGCUUGAGCACUGUAGAGGCAGGCGGAAUUCCGGGUGUAGCGGUGGAAUGCGUAGAGAUCCGGAAGAACACCGGUGGCGAAGGCGGCCUGCUGGGCAGUAGCUGACACUGAGGCGCGACAGCGUGGGGAGCAAACAGG